AUUCAUCCAUUUGGCUUCGCAAAAUUCAAGGAAAAUUCAUUUUCGCACGGACAUCAGUAUCCUAUGUUUUAAAUGCUUCCACCCGAGUCAUUACUGCUGGUAAUGAGCUACCAGUCCCUAGUGGUAUUACGCCUCCAAUUCUGUUUAUAUUCUAAUUACUUAUUAGAUAAUAGUACUAAUUCAAAACUAAAGUCAAAAUUCUGACCGGAUUUAGACAGGGACUUACCCGACA
rnacentral:lncRNA from 1 species